ACUGUAUUAUUGUUUUCAAUGAUCUUCUCUUCAUUCACAGGAAAAUCAAGUCCUGCAGCUGAUGCAGCAGUUUAUUCUGAAGUCACAUCAGGAAGCUCUCUCAGUCAGUGAGGAGAGCUGUAGCAGCAAAGCCAAGAAGAAGCUUUUUAUGAAGCCACUCUUGCUCCUCUGCUGCCCAAAUAUCAGACAUGCUCAGCUUUAUGUACAGUUACAAUAUUAAAUCAUUAUAUCAUAUAGACAUAUUGCUCUCUUAUAGCAUAAAACAAAUGCAGGUGUAUUCCUAUUUAAUAGUCGUGCUCUUUAUAUUCAGUUUUUUUUUAUAAAGAUUUUGUAAUAAACCUUGAAUGUAUCUAACAUGUUCCAACAGCAAGUGAGAACAAAGUGUGAAAUAUGUGAUCUUUAGUAUCUGACAGCACAACUUAAAGUCAGUGUUUGCAGUGUUUCACAAGUAAAUACUGAUAUGGGACCAACAAAUACUUUAACUGUGUUUGUCUAAAGAUCUCGUACAUUAUAUAAAUAAGAAUUAUAUCAUAGGCAGUGAAUACAUUUGAAUGUAUUUCAUGUAUAUUUUUGUGUCUCUGAUUAUUUUAUGCUUCUGUAGUUAGAAGGUAGAAAUAAAACCUUUUUACAUUUUAAUAUUUUAUAUUUGAUUUUUGUUUGAUUUGUGUUUCCUGUAUGAGAUUAUCCACAAACUAACAGAACAACCACUUAAACAGUUUGUAACUGUGUUGCCAUGAAAACCUAAAAUAAACAGAUGUUCACAAGAUUAUCUUUGUGAGUAUUAUUUUCAAAGCGGUCACUAAGAGUACAGAGCAUGACAGCAGUCUGCAUGUAUCUGACACAGAGGACUGUAAAGUAUGUGUCUCUAUGUGCUGCUGUCACAGGCUGCAGUUAAAGGAAAAGAUAACUUGUACAUGUGAUAAAUCUCAUAUGAAAGAUUGCAUAGAGACAGAAUAUCACAGAGAACUAAAGCUCUGCAUCAAUCAUCAGCAUAAGUAGCAGUUUGUGUGUACUGUAGAUGCUUCCCUCUUUACUAUCAGUCAUAUCCUUGUCUUACAAUAAAGGUGAGCAACUAUUAUUACACGUGUCUGUUUGUAUUGUUGAACCUAAACAAAUUUAGCUGCAUGUACAUAUAGAACUCUCUUUCACAUUUAUGGGCA
rnacentral:lncRNA from 1 species